rnacentral:lncRNA from 1 species
AUUUGAUCUUGGGGUCCCGCUACUCCAUCCAAGGAGCACUAGUUGGGGAUGUAAACUGAGGCACAGGCUUCCUGUCCUCGCCCCUCCCCGCCAGGCCUCUGCUCCUUCAGCACAGCCCACACUCCUAGGGACCUCGCACUUCCCGGAGCAACACCCUCCCACUGUCCUGGGAAUCACACCAUGCACCAUGUGCUGGGCACACAGUAGCUGUACAAGACCCACGAAGAAGCAAUGAUGGGGUCAUUCUUCUGCCUUAAGCCCAAAGGGUCCUUGGUUUGACCAUUGCUCCCAGGUGGACAUAUGCAAGGCAGCAGAAUACAGCCCCAUCACAAGAAAGGGUCUUUAUGGAAUUCCCUGAACCCCAGCGCUGGCUGAGUCUGAAAGCAGGCUGAUGAAGCAAAGCAGAAGUCUCAGAAUCUGAAAUCUUUGAAGACCUGGAGCUCAGUAGCUAUUUGGCGAAUGAUCGGGGAACUUGGACCAUUCUUCUGUCUUCUCAUCCUCUUCCUUUUCCUGUCCACUGAAUGUCACCUCCUACGGCUUCUGUAUCCUCCGAGGAUCCUUCCUGUGUCCCCAGUCUUGCUUUCUGCCUGUUCACUGAGUCUCUAGAAUUUCUCAUCACACAGUGAUGAAAACUCUGAC